rnacentral:misc_RNA from 1 species
CAACCAUAUACCAGUGUCGUGCAUUCAUCUUCACACUCACUGGCCGUUUUUCCGCAUUCGAUCCUUUACCGAAAACACCAUCAGUCUUUUCUUGUCUUUUCUUCUGCGUCGCGCCUCUUCCGCUGAGAAAAGUAGAGGAGGUCCUAUUUUCUUGGGUAACCCUCCUCCCCCCUUUUCCACCUUUAAAACAACGGCAGCACCAGCGUCUAUACAUGUAUAGUUUUUAUUUAUUUUUUUACCGUGCCAUUCUGCCGCGAGCAAGUGACAAAAAUAGACGCAUACAACCACAGCUCACCCGUCUCCGUAGGGGGGGGGGGUUACAGCUGCAUCCUGGGCGUCUAGGACGAGCCGCCUGCCUUCGCAUCGGGCCAUACGCCGCACGGGCACUUCCUGUCCUUGCUCGUCCCUUCCUCGGGUGCGUGCUGCGCGGCGGGCGUCCCACGGACAUGGGUGAGCUGCAUGGCCUGAUCCAACGCGGGGCCGCGCCCAUGCUCCUGCUCGAGGGCGGAGGCGGUGGCGUCUGUCGUGCGGGUAAUAGGGGAGUGGUCAAGGUGACAUGCCGGAUGAGCUCGAGGAGGACGUUGGCCAGCCUCAGGUCAGGGCCCUCGGUGGCCCUGCGCACCCCCUGCCUGCGUGCCAUGCUUCGCCCUCGGUCGCUUCACGCCGCGGCAUCCCAUAAUAUGGAGACCCUCCGCAUGGGGAGUCGGGAGGGCCCGGAUGGUGCAGCUCGGGCUGCUCUCGUGAUGCUUCCGGCAUCUGUGCCUCAUCAGUGCAGCCCUGGACAGAUGCCGAAGAUGCCGCAUGCUAUGCACACAUGCGCUGUGGGGCUCACUGCUAUGGGACUUCUUCGCGCCCCUUCCGUCCAUCACUCUUGCUCUCUCACCUCUGCACUCUUUCUUUCGAUGUGGCGCACCAAG